rnacentral:rRNA from 1 species
UACGUAGGGUGCAAGCGUUAAUCGGAAUUACUGGGCGUAAAGCGUGCGCAGGCGGCUUUGCAAGACAGAUGUGAAAUCCCCGGGCUCAACCUGGGAACUGCAUUUGUGACUGCAUGGCUAGAGUACGGUAGAGGGGGAUGGAAUUCCGCGUGUAGCAGUGAAAUGCGUAGAUAUGCGGAGGAACACCGAUGGCGAAGGCAAUCCCCUGGACCUGUACUGACGCUCAUGCACGAAGGCGUGGGGAGCAAACAGG